ACAAAUUUGAGGGACCAAACUUCUUAAAGAGGGGGAAGAGUAUAAUAACCCGACCCUCUCAUAUGUUUUAAUAUGCUUUACUUCCUUCAUUAUGUGCAUGGUUAUAUGUGUGUUUAUGAGUUUGAUGUAAAAUUCUAUGUUUUGAUAUGUGAAUUACAUGUUUAUAACUUUGUACCUGUCGGUUAUGAGAAGUUUGCUGAAAUUGUGAUCUUUGGACUGAAAAUUGAAAACCUUAGAGGCGCAAUAAAUCGAAAUUGACUUUACAGUUAUGAUUAACAUGAUUUUUAGAACAUAAUAUGAAAUUUUGUAAAAAUUUGAUUCAUAAUGAAUUAAUUAGAAUUAUUUGGUAAAACUCUUAAUGAAGCCCAACUUAGGCUCAAAUAAGCUUGGCUUUGGUUAAUAUAGAUAUAUACUUAAGCCUUAGAAGACUUAGACUCAACACCAAAACAAAAAUAUCUCCUAGGUGCUCUAGAGAAGGAAAGAAAAGAAAAGGAGAGAGAGGGAGAGAGAGGAAGGAGAAUUCAACAUAGGAGCUUGAGAUUGAAGAACUUGCUAGGGGCUUCAAGGAAUACAACUAAAGGUCACUCGCCGGAAUGGACCAAUGCACAACCGGAUCACUGUGGUCAGCUUUGAGGCCAGCCCUAGGUCAGCUUCAGGACUUUUGAUGAACCUGUUUUGUUAAGCGUCCAACGUUGGAGCCUUUUUGUCUUUUUGAGAAGUUCCUUUAAUGCCACCAAUUUGUUAAGCUUUUGGUGGCUACACUUUGUUAUUAUAAAAAUGCUGGAUUGUUAACUCUUUGUAUAUAUAACUACAUGACUUGGAUUUGUGUAUAUAUGGCCUAUGUACUUGAACUUUCUAUAUACGAUAUGAUAGGUUAGAAUUCUGGCA